CCGGCCCAACCAACCGAAGCCCAACAUAUACUGGAAUUUGGAAAGGUUCCAUUUUACCUAAACGGAGCACGAAGAAGAAGAAGAGGCAGAGAAAGUAAGAGAGAAUGGCGAAGCCGCUUGGAGCGACCGGAGAGUUCUUCAGGAGGAGGGAUGAGUGGAGGAAGCAUCCGAGGCUUAGCAAUCAGCUCCGCCACGCCCUUCCCGGUUUUGGCCUCGGAGUCGCCGCCUUCGGCAUCUACCUGGUUGGCGAGCAGGUCUACAACAAACUCCUUGCUCCAUCCUCCUCCUCUUCUUCUUCUUCUCACCACUCUUCCCAUUCCUCUGCUUCUCACUGAUUCAUUGAGACAACGACAACAAAAACCUGAUCAGGUAUCAAUCUGAUUGGGCUUACUUCUUUGAAUACACCAGGACUACGUUUAGAGUUUGUAGUAUUCACGGGAAUGUUUUGCUUGUUUUUCCCACAUGAAAAUUGAAUGGAUGCUUGGGAGAAGGAAAGGAGCAUGGACUUGUAAUUUCGAAGUCUCCUUGUUGGUUUGUUCAUUUAGCAAUAAGCUUUUAAUUGCCAAGAGACAUGAAGAACUUAAAGCUUGUGAAUUUAUAAUGUAUUUAAACAUGCUGUUGCUAUUUACUCUUAUGUCUUGCAACUCGUGGCUCAGUAUAUUGCAUCCAUGCAAGUAUUGUUUUCUUUUAAAA